rfam:Solemya velum gill symbiont strain WH SV_sym_Scaffold_2, whole genome shotgun sequence.
UGAUUACACGGCGCUGAUUUGAACUCAGAUUGCGGGCGCCUUAUAAAACCGGCUAAAGAGAGAACGAAAAGUUUUCC